rnacentral:rRNA from 1 species
GCUCAGUAACACGUGGAUAACCUACCCUUAGGACCGGGAUAACCCUGGGAAACUGGGGCUAAUACUGGAUAGAUGAUUUUUCCUGUAAUGGUUUUUUGUUUAAAUGUUUUUUCGCCUAAGGAUGGGUCUGCGGCCGAUUAGGUAGUUGGUUAGGUAAUGGCUUACCAAGCCGUUGAUCGGUACGGGUUGUGAGAGCAAGAGCCCGGAGAUGGAACCUGAGACAAGGUUCCAGGCCCUACGGGGUGCAGCAGGCGCGAAACCUCCGCAAUGUGAGAAAUCGCGACGGGGGGAUCCCAAGUGCCAUUCUUAACGGGAUGGCUUUUCAUUAGUGUAAAGAGCUUUUGGAAUAAGAGCUGGGCAAGACCGGUGCCAGCCGCCGCGGUAACACCGGCAGCUCUAGUGGUAGCAAUUUUUAUUGGGCCUAAAGCGUCCGUAGCCGGUUUAAUAAGUCUCUGGUGAAAUCUUGUAGCUUAACUGUGAGAAUUGCUGGAGAUACUAUUAGACUUGAGACCGGGAGAGGUUAGAGGUACUCCCAGGGUAGAGGUGAAAUUCCGUAAUCCUGGGAGGACCGCCUGUUGCGAAGGCGUCUAACUGGAACGGUUCUGACGGUGAGGGACGGAAGUUAGGGGCGCGAACCGGAUUAGAUACCCGGGUAGUCCUAACUGUAAACGAUGCGGACUUGGUGUUGGGGUGGCUUUGAGCUGUUCCAGUGCCGAAGGGAAGCUGUUAAGUCCGUCGCCUGGGAAGUACGGUCGCAAGACUGAAACUUAAAGGAAUUGGCGGGGGAGCAC